rnacentral:rRNA from 1 species
GAUGAACGCUGGCGGCGUGCCUAAUACAUGCAAGUCGAGCGAACGGACGAGAAGCUUGCUUCUCUGAUGUUAGCGGCGGACGGGUGAGUAACACGUGGAUAACCUACCUAUAAGACUGGGAUAACUUCGGGAAACCGGAGCUAAUACCGGAUAAUAUUUUGAACCGCAUGGUUCAAAAGCGAAAGACGGUCUUGCUGUCACUUAUAGAUGGAUCCGCGCUGCACUAGCUAGUUGGUAAGGUAACGGCUUACCAAGGCAACGAUGCAUAGCCGACCUGAGAGGGUGAUCGGCCACACUGGAACUGAGACACGGUCCAGACUCCUACGGGAGGCAGCAGUAGGGAAUCUUCCGCAAUGGGCGAAGGCCUGACGGAGCAACGCCGCGUGAGUGAUGAAGGUCUUCGGAUCGUAAAACUCUGUUAUUAGGGAAGAACAUAUGUGUAAGUAACUGUGCACAUCUUGACGGUACCUAAUCAGAAAGCCACGGCUAACUACGUG